AUUGAACGCUGGCGGCAGGCCUAACACAUGCAAGUCGAGCGAGCGGCGGACGGGUGAGUAAUGUAUGAGGAUCUGCCUGAUGGCGGGGGAUAACUACUGGCAACGGUAGCUAAUACCGCAUACCGUCCGAUGAACCCAUAUGGGAGUAGCUAGUAGGUGCGGUAACGGCUCACCUAGACGACGAUCCCUAGCUGGUCUGAGAGGAUGAGCAGCCACACUGGGACUGAGACCCGUCCCAUACUCCUACGGGAGGCAGCAGUGGGGAAUAUUGCACAAUGGGCGCAAGCCUGAUGCAGCCAUGCCGCGUGUAUGAAGAAGGCCUUCGGGUUGUAAAGUACUUUCAGUCGGGAGGCGUUACCGACAGAAGAAGCACCGGCUAACUCCGUGCCAGCCGCCGCGGUAAUAC
rnacentral:rRNA from 1 species